rnacentral:rRNA from 1 species
AUUGAACGCUGGCGGCAGGCCUAACACAUGCAAGUCGAGCGGAUGACGGGAGCUUGCUCCUUGAUUCAGCGGCGGACGGGUGAGUAAUGCCUAGGAAUCUGCCUGGUAGUGGGGGACAACGUUUCGAAAGGAACGCUAAUACCGCAUACGUCCUACGGGAGAAAGCAGGGGACCUUCGGGCCUUGCGCUAUUAGAUGAGCCUAGGUCGGAUUAGCUAGUUGGUUAGGUAAUGGCUCACCAAGGCGACGAUCCGUAACUGGUCUGAGAGGAUGAUCAGUCACACUGGAACUGAGACACGGUCCAGACUCCUACGGGAGGCAGCAGUGGGGAAUAUUGGACAAUGGGCGAAAGCCUGAUCCAGCCAUGCCGCGUGUGUGAAGAAGGUCUUCGGAUUGUAAAGCACUUUAAGUUGGGAGGAAGGGCAGUAAGUUAAUACCUUGCUGUUUUGACGUUACCGACAGAAUAAGCACCGGCUAACUCUGUGCCAGCCGCCGCAGUAAUAC